AAUAAGUACAGUUUUAGCAGUAUUCAUGUUUAACGUUUGACCGUUCGUCUUAUUUUAAAAAAAGAUUAUGAUUAGUAUUUUUAUUGUUAUUAGAUGAUAAAACAUGAAUAGUACUUUAUGUGUGACUAAUUUUUGUAACAUUUUUCAUAAAUUUUUUAAAUAAGACGGAUGGUCAAAGCGCUAAACACGGAUAUUUAUAGCUGCACUUAUU
rfam:Oryza sativa (indica cultivar-group) chromosome 12, whole genome shotgun sequence.